GGAUAGCUCAGUCAGUAAAGCAUGGGACCCUUAAUCUCAGGGUUGCGGGUUCAAGCUCCACAGUCGGCA